UCAGUUCUGUAGAUUAGACGUGCAGUUUCUUUGUGUCUAUUGUGGUGCCAAUAGCAUGCUUUUGGCAUAUGAGUUGUCAUUGCAUAACAGCUUAGUUAUUUGCACCAUAAUAGUUUUUUAAAUAAAAAACAGUUUAAUAGUUAGUUAUAUUUUAUCAAAACAAUAGAGCAACUAUAGUUAUUAAUUUUAAAAUAUAAAAUUUAGUUACAAAAUGUUCUCUUAAAAACGUAUAGAAGGGUGCAUUUCAAACCUUUUCUCCAAUUUUUAUUUUUGAAGUCGUUAUUGUUAUGAGUUAAUUUGUAUUUAUUAUACUGUGACUACAUUCCUUUCUGGUUUCUCUACUGACCGAAUGCGAUGGAAUACGUUAAUAUGAUUUUACAAGUUGGACAAAAAGUAGCGUCUGAAUGUCAACAACCCACAGUUCUUCAACUUGUCAACAAAUCCCGCUGCGAUAUAAUUGACGCUACCAUGUCUUCAAUGGAUAAGUUUGACUGGUUAAUGGCUGGUCCCCUUUUCGACAGAGAACAUAUUUCUUCUAAUUCCUCACAAGAAAGAAACGCAUCUUUAAAUAAAAUGGCCACCCAUUGCCCUUUUGAAAUGACAUUAAUUUUUAGUGAUGGAACUGUGGAUAAAUUCAGGAUGCAUCAGAAAUUUCCCUUUGAUGGGUGUUCGGGUUUUCAACACUUUAUCGGCCCACAUACUAUCACCUUCUCAAGUUCAGAGAAUAAAGUGAUUAUAACAGUUGAGGAUAAAUAGUGUUUUGUUUAUAUUUUUAAUAAAAAAUAAGCGUUUAUAACAAAUCAUAUUAUUGUGCACUAUUUUUAUACAGGCUGACCCAGGGGUGCGUGCAUACUCCACAACUUUUUUUCUAUGUAAGCUAUCAAUUUGAAUUUUUUUAAACGAUAGGGCUGACAAUAAGGCACAUUCUAAAAAUGUUUUAGUUUUUACAUAGAGUGUUUCAA